rnacentral:lncRNA from 1 species
UUGUUGAUCUAGAGGAUCAGUUUCUAAUGUUUCCUUCUCACUGCAAACAGAGAGUCAACCAGGUUUCACAGAAUAUUGUGUAGCAGCACAAUACACCAGCAUCCUUCUCUGAAGGAUGAAGAUGAUGCUUGGACUGUAACUUCCAGAAUUUGUCAUUGAAGCAAACAGUUUCAGAAGAUGCAUAAGGAGAACACACAGAACAAUGGUGCGAGCUUUCCAGUCAGAAUUGGAAAGCAAAACAGGGAUUAAUUCUCAGCAACAAAAACGUAAAGAAGUGGAGUGGAACCCUGAGGAGCAGAUGGAGCUGGGAGAGAUGCAUGGAUAUAUCUACAUUGAGAACCCCUUGGAAUAUCUUUACUGUUAGGACAGAGUUGUCUUUGCUGUUGUAGGUUGCCAGAUGUUUAGAAGGGAGGCAGGUCAACCAUGAUCUACUGUUUAAGAGCAGCGUAGACUUAG